AAUGAACGCUGGCGGCAUGCCUAAUACAUGCAAGUCGAACGAGAUCUUCGGAUCUAGUGGCGCACGGGUGCGUAACGCGUGGGAAUCUGCCCUUGGGUUCGGAAUAACGUCGGGAAACUGACGCUAAUACCGGAUGAUGACGUAAGUCCAAAGAUUUAUCGCCCAAGGAUGAGCCCGCGUAGGAUUAGCUAGUUGGUGGGGUAAAGGCCCACCAAGGCGACGAUCCUUAGCUGGUCUGAGAGGAUGAUCAGCCACACUGGGACUGAGACACGGCCCAGACUCCUACGGGAGGCAGCAGUAGGGAAUAUUGGACAAUGGGGGCAACCCUGAUCCAGCAAUGCCGCGUGAGUGAUGAAGGCCUUAGGGUUGUAAAGCUCUUUUACCCGGGAUGAUAAUGACAGUACCGGGAGAAUAAGCCCCGGCUAACUCCGUGCCAGCCGCCGCCGUAAUAC
rnacentral:rRNA from 1 species